GUGUGGUUCAGUACCGUUUCCUUGGCUAAAGGAAAGAUUUUUAACAUUCCUUUACAAUCUCACAGCAUUUUCUUAAGGAACUCGGAUGAGCUUCACUUGUCUUGUGUCACCUUCCCACUGAUGGACCAUUCUACACUUCACUCAACUUACCAAAAGAGGAACCUUCAGGGUCCAAUCAGCACCAAAGCAGUAAAUCCAGGAUGAAGUCUGCUAGUGGGUCCAACACAUGAAAGCCCGGACAAUGUGUAGCAGGUAAGAUUGACAUAUCUGUGUUAAGU
rnacentral:lncRNA from 1 species